GCCUUCUUAGCUCAGUCGGUAGUGCAUCAGACUUUUAAUCUGAGGGUCGUGGGUUCGAGUCCCGCAAAAGGCG
rfam:Toxocara canis scaffold580, whole genome shotgun sequence.